rnacentral:rRNA from 1 species
GACGAACGCUGGCGGCGUGCCUAAUACAUGCAAGUCGAACGCAUUUUCUUUCACCGUAGCUUGCUACACCGAAAGAAAAUGAGUGGCGAACGGGUGAGUAACACGUGGGUAACCUGCCCAUCAGCGGGGGAUAACACUUGGAAACAGGUGCUAAUACCGCAUAAUUCCAUUUACCGCAUGGUAGAUGGGUGAAAGGCGCUUUUGCGUCACUGAUGGAUGGACCCGCGGUGCAUUAGCUAGUUGGUGGGGUAACGGCCUACCAAGGCUGCGAUGCAUAGCCGACCUGGGAGGGUGAUCGGCCACACUGGGACUGAGACACGGCCCAGACUCCUACGGGAGGCAGCAGUAGGGAAUCUUCGGCAAUGGACGCAAGUCUGACCGAGCAACGCCGCGUGAGUGAAGAAGGUUUUCGGAUCGUAAAACUCUGUUGUUAGAGAAGAACAAGGAUGAGAGUGGAAAGUUCAUCCCUUGACGGUAUCUAACCAGAAAGCCACGGCUAACUACGUG